CUUUCAUCCUCAGGAUGGGAAGUCCUCACAGAGUUCAGUUUUCCCUGGGGCUUGUGAUCACUGUCUCCUUGGUGACAUGCAAUCUGGGAGUGCUUUCUGGAGUCUGAUAAGAACAUACUGGCACAUUGCCUGUGACGUGUGGGACCCAGGCAUUUUCAGUGCUGAGGACUGUGUGUUUCUGUGCUGGAACUCAAGUGAACACUGGCUCAACAUCCUUAGAAAUCCAGCCCAAUUCUCUUGGUUAAAGAUAAGAUUCCAUUUUGGAUGCCCCCGUCGGGACUGUGUGUCACUGUACUGGAACUCGAGUGAACACUUAGCUCAAAAUCUAUUGCUGUUCUCUAGAAUCCAGCCCAAUUCUCAUGGUUAAAUAUAAGG
rnacentral:lncRNA from 1 species